ensembl:lncRNA
AUGGAUGGGGGGACCCAGAGCGGAAGCAGAGGGGCCAGGCAGUUGCUGCCAGCAGGCGGGGCGCAGGGCGGACAGAAGCCAUUUCCAGACAUGCGAGCAGGGCCUCUGGAACCACAAGGCUCACGGCUGCCAGGCCUGCUCUGCCCCAGGGGGGAUGUCACGUGUGGGGACAGAGCGGGGCGGGCCGCUCUCUGUGGAAUCAGCCGGGCUGAGCUCUGCCGCCGGGCGAGCCAGGUCCAGAGGUGCAGUUGGCCGGGGGUCGCACUCCCAGAGGGCAGCGAAGCCCCGCUGCCAACACCGCCAACCUCGGACCUGCUGCCCUCUGCUGCGGGGACCUGGCCUCGGAGCUCGGUCAGGUCAGGAGCAACACCCGUGAGAGAAGAAAGGAGGCUUCCGAGAAGGGGAACUUUCACAAGCAGAUUUGCAUUUGCACCAAAGCACCUUCCCGCCGUUCAAAAAGUUAAAAACGGGAUCCUGUCACAGUGGAAACCGGCGACAGAGGGGCGGGCUGAGGAGGACGCAGGAGUGUCUGCCAGAGUCACACCGGCAAGAUGCCACCCCCACCUGGGGCCUCUGCUGGGAAAACAGGAUCUUUCUGCAAGGCCAGGUUUCCAGCAAGUGCAUGCUUAUUGGAGCUGGUGA